rnacentral:ncRNA from 2 species
CACUCGAAGAUACGGAUUCUUAACG